rnacentral:rRNA from 1 species
UUUAUGGGCGGCGAGCGGCGGACGGGUGAGUAAUGCCUGGGAAUAUGCCCUGAUGUGGGGGAUAACCAUUGGAAACGAUGGCUAAUACCGCAUAAUGUCUUCGGACCAAAGAGGGGGACCUUCGGGCCUCUCGCGUCAGGAUUAGCCCAGGUGGGAUUAGCUGGUUGGUGGGGUAACGGCUCACCAAGGCGACGAUCCCUAGCUGGUCUGAGAGGAUGAUCAGCCACACUGGAACUGAGACACGGGCCAGACUCCUACGGGAGGCAGCAGUGGGGAAUAUUGCACAAUGGGGGAAACCCUGAUGCAGCCAUGCCGCGUGUGUGAAGAAGGCCUUCGGGUUGUAAAGCACUUUCAGUCGUGAGGAAGGGUGUGCAGUUAAUAGCUGUACAUUUUGACGUUAGCGACAGAAGAAGCACCGGCUAACUCCGUGCCAGCAGCCGCGGUAAUACGGAGGGUGCGAGCGUUAAUCGGAAUUACUGGGCGUAAAGCGCAUGCAGGCGGUCUGUUAAGCAAGAUGUGAAAGCCCGGGGCUCAACCUCGGAACAGCAUUUUGAACUGGCAGACUAGAGUCUUGUAGAGGUGGGUAGAAUUUCAGGUGUAGCGGUGAAAUGCGUAGAGAUCUGAAGGAAUACCGGUGGCGAAAGCGGCCCCCUGGACAAAGACUGACGCUC